rnacentral:ncRNA from 1 species
AAUGAGUUUGAUUCUUGCUUACUAAUAACAUUUUUAAAUGAAUUAUAUGUAAAAUAUUUAAAUAAUAAGGUUUACAGUAAUUAGUUUUAAUUAUUAUUUUAAUUUAUGUUUAGUAAUUUAAUUAGUUUAGAUAAAAAUUGUGCCAGCAUUCGCGGUUAUACAAUUUAAUCAAUGUUAUAUUUUAACAUUAAAAAUAUUAAUUAUAAAUGGUUUUGGAUUAUAUUUAUUUAGGUGAAAUUUUUUUUUAUAAAUAAAAUCUUAAUUUAUUUUUUAUAAAUUUUAUAAAAAACUAGGAUUAGAUACCCUAUUAUUAAUAAUAAAAUUAUUUAUGUGAAUAUUAAUAGUUAUGUUCUAAAAAAUUCAAAGAAUUUGACGGUAAUUUAUUUCUUUUUAGAGGAAUCUGUAUUAUAAUUUGAUAAACCACGAUAGUUUAUACUUAAAUAUAUUUUGUAUACCGCUAUUUUAUAGGGUGUUUUUUUAGGAUAUUCUCUUUUAUUAAUUAUAUUUAAAUAUUAGGUCAAGGUGCAGUUUUUUUUAAAGUAGGUAUGGAUUACUUUAAUAUUAAAUAUAUUGAAUUAUUAUAUUUUUAUAUGUAUAUGAAAUAGGAUUUAUUAGUAAAUUUUAAUUAUUAUUAAAAUUGAAUUUAUAUUUGCUCUAAAUUAUGUACAUAUCGCCCGUCAUUCCCAAUUAAAUGGGACAAGUCGUAACAAAGUAAAUUUACCGGAAGGUGUAUUUAGAAUACUAC